rnacentral:rRNA from 1 species
CCUACGGGAGGCUGCAGUGGGGAAUAUUGGACAAUGGGGGGAACCCUGAUCCAGCCAUGCCGCGUGUGUGAAGAAUGCCCUCGGGUUGUAAAGCACUUUCAGUGAGGAAGAACGCCUGGUGGUUAAUACCCAUCAGGAAAGACAUCACUCACAGAAGAAGCACCGGCUAACUCCGUGCCAGCAGCCGCGGUAAUACGGAGGGUGCGAGCGUUAAUCGGAAUUACUGGGCGUAAAGCGCGCGUAGGUGGCUUGAUAAGCCGGUUGUGAAAGCCCCGGGCUCAACCUGGGAACGGCAUCCGGAACUGUCAAGCUAGAGGGCAGGAGAGGAAGGUAGAAUUCCCGGUGUAGCGGUGAAAUGCGUAGAGAUCGGGAGGAAUACCAGUGGCGAAGGCGGCCUUCUGGACUGACACUGACACUGAGGUGCGAAAGCGUGGGUAGCAAACAGGAUUAGAUACCCUUGUAGUC